rnacentral:rRNA from 1 species
GACGAACGCUGGCGGCGUGCUUAACACAUGCAAGUCGAACGGAAAGGCCCUGCUUUUGUGGGGUGCUCGAGUGGCGAACGGGUGAGUAACACGUGAGUAACCUGCCCUUGACUUUGGGAUAACUUCAGGAAACUGGGGCUAAUACCGGAUAGGAGCUCCUGCUGCAUGGUGGGGGUUGGAAAGUUUCGGCGGUUGGGGAUGGACUCGCGGCUUAUCAGCUUGUUGGUGGGGUAGUGGCUUACCAAGGCUUUGACGGGUAGCCGGCCUGAGAGGGUGACCGGCCACAUUGGGACUGAGAUACGGUCCAGACUCCUACGGGAGGCAGCAGUGGGGAAUAUUGCACAAUGGGCGGAAGCCUGAUACAGCAACGCCGCGUGCGGGAUGACGGCCUUCGGGUUGUAAACCGCUUUCGCCUGUGACGAAGCGUGAGUGACGGUAAUGGGUAAAGAAGCACCGGCUAACUACGUG